rnacentral:rRNA from 1 species
AGAGUUUGAUCCUGGCUCAGAACGAACGCUGGCGGCGUGGAUAAGACAUGCAAGUCGAACGAGAGAAUUGCUAGCUUGCUAAUAAUUCUCUAGUGGCGCACGGGUGAGUAACACGUGAGUAACCUGCCCCCGAGAGCGGGAUAGCCCUGGGAAACUGGGAUUAAUACCGCAUAGUAUCGAAAGAUUAAAGCAGCAAUGCGCUUGGGGAUGGGCUCGCGGCCUAUUAGUUAGUUGGUGAGGUAACGGCUCACCAAGGCGAUGACGGGUAGCCGGUCUGAGAGGAUGUCCGGCCACACUGGAACUGAGACACGGUCCAGACACCUACGGGUGGCAGCAGUCGAGAAUCAUUCACAAUGGGGGAAACCCUGAUGGUGCGACGCCGUGUGGGGGAAUGAAGGUCUUCGGAUUGUAAACCCCUGUCAUGUGGGAGCAAAUUAAAAAGAUAGUACCACAAGAGGAAGAGACGGCUAACUCUGUGCCAGCAGCCGCGGUAAUACAGAGGUCUCAAGCGUUGUUCGGAAUCACUGGGCGUAAAGCGUGCGUAGGCUGUUUCGUAAGUCGUGUGUGAAAGGCGCGGGCUCAACCCGCGGACGGCACACGAUACUGCGAGACUAGAGUAAUGGAGGGGGAACCGGAAUUCUCGGUGUAGCAGUGAAAUGCGUAGAUAUCGAGAGGAACACUCGUGGCGAAGGCGGGUUCCUGGACAUUAACUGACGCUGAGGCACGAAGGCCAGGGGAGCGAAAGGGAUUAGAUACCCCUGUAGUCCUGGCAGUAAACGGUGCACGCUUGGUGUGCGGGGAAUCGACCCCCUGCGUGCCGGAGCUAACGCGUUAAGCGUGCCGCCUGGGGAGUACGGUCGCAAGAUUAAAACUCAAAGAAAUUGACGGGGACCCGCACAAGCGGUGGAGUAUGUGGCUUAAUUCGAUGCAACGCGAAGAACCUUACCUGGGCUUGACAUGUAAUGAACAACAUGUGAAAGCAUGCGACUCUUCGGAGGCGUUACACAGGUGCUGCAUGGCCGUCGUCAGCUCGUGUCGUGAGAUGUUUGGUUAAGUCCAGCAACGAGCGCAACCCCUGUUGCCAGUUACCAGCACGUGAAGGUGGGGACUCUGGCGAGACUGCCCAGAUCAACUGGGAGGAAGGUGGGGACGACGUCAGGUCAGUAUGGCCCUUAUGCCCAGGGCUGCACACGUACUACAAUGCCCAGUACAGAGGGGGCCGAAGCCGCGAGGCGGAGGAAAUCCUAAAAACUGGGCCCAGUUCGGACUGUAGGCUGCAACCCGCCUACACGAAGCCGGAAUCGCUAGUAAUGGCGCAUCAGCUACGGCGCCGUGAAUACGUUCCCGGGUCUUGCACACACCGCCCGUCA